rnacentral:rRNA from 1 species
UGGGGAAUAUUGGGCAAUGGGCGCAAGCCUGACCCAGCGACGCCGCGUGGGUGAUGAAGGCCUUCGGGUUGUAAAGCCCUGUCAUGUGGAAAGAACAGUCUCGUGGUGAAUAUCCACGGGAUUUGACGGUACCACAGGAGGAAGCACCGGCUAACUCCGUGCCAGCAGCCGCGGUAAUACGGAGGGUGCAAGCGUUGUUCGGAAUUAUUGGGCGUAAAGGGCGCGUAGGCGGUUGUGAAAGUCAGAUGUGAAAUACUUCGGCUCAACUGAAGAACUGCAUCUGAAACUUCAUAACUCGAGUACAGGAGAGGGAAACGGAAUUCCCGGUGUAGAGGUGAAAUUCGUAGAUAUCGGGAGGAACACCAGUGGCGAAGGCGGUUUCCUGGCCUGAUACUGACGCUGAGGCGCGAAAGCGUGGGGAGCAAACAG